rnacentral:rRNA from 1 species
AGAGUUUGAUCAUGGCUCAGAUUGAACGCUGGCGGCAGGCCUAACACAUGCAAGUCGAACGGUAACAGAAAGCAGCUUGCUGCUUUGCUGACGAGUGGCGGACGGGUGAGUAAUGUCUGGGAAACUGCCUGAUGGAGGGGGAUAACUACUGGAAACGGUAGCUAAUACCGCAUAACGUCGCAAGACCAAAGAGGGGGACCUUAGGGCCUCUUGCCAUCGGAUGUGCCCAGAUGGGAUUAGCUAGUAGGUGGGGUAACGGCUCACCUAGGCGACGAUCCCUAGCUGGUCUGAGAGGAUGACCAGCCACACUGGAACUGAGACACGGUCCAGACUCCUACGGGAGGCAGCAGUGGGGAAUAUUGCACAAUGGGCGCAAGCCUGAUGCAGCCAUGCCGCGUGUAUGAAGAAGGCCUUCGGGUUGUAAAGUACUUUCAGCGGGGAGGAAGGGAGUAAAGUUAAUACCUUUGCUCAUUGACGUUACCCGCAGAAGAAGCACCGGCUAACUCCGUGCCAGCAGCCGCGGUAAUACGGAGGGUGCAAGCGUUAAUCGGAAUUACUGGGCGUAAAGCGCACGCAGGCGGUUUGUUAAGUCAGAUGUGAAAUCCCCGGGCUCAACCUGGGAACUGCAUCUGAUACUGGCAGGCUUGAGUCUCGUAGAGGGGGGUAGAAUUCCAGGCGUAGCGGUGAAAUGCGUAGAGAUCUGGAGGAAUACCGGUGGCGAAGGCGGCCCCCUGGACGAAGACUGACGCUCAGGUGCGAAAGCGUGGGGAGCAAACAGGAUUAGAUACCCUGGUAGUCCACGCCGUAAACGAUGUCGACUUGGAGGUUGUGCCCUUGAGGCGUGGCUUCCGGAGCUAACGCGUUAAGUCGACCGCCUGGGGAGUACGGCCGCAAGGUUAAAACUCAAAUGAAUUGACGGGGGCCCGCACAAGCGGUGGAGCAUGUGGUUUAAUUCGAUGCAACGCGAAGAACCUUACCUGGUCUUGACAUCCACGGAAGUUUUCAGAGAUGAGAAUGUGCCUUCGGGAACCGUGAGACAGGUGCUGCAUGGCUGUCGUCAGCUCGUGUUGUGAAAUGUUGGGUUAAGUCCCGCAACGAGCGCAACCCUUAUCCUUUGUUGCCAGCGGUCCGGCCGGGAACUCAAAGGAGACUGCCAGUGAUAAACUGGAGGAAGGUGGGGAUGACGUCAAGUCAUCAUGGCCCUUACGACCAGGGCUACACACGUGCUACAAUGGCGCAUACAAAGAGAAGCGACCUCGCGAGAGCAAGCGGACCUCAUAAAGUGCGUCGUAGUCCGGAUUGGAGUCUGCAACUCGACUCCAUGAAGUCGGAAUCGCUAGUAAUCGUGGAUCAGAAUGCCACGGUGAAUACGUUCCCGGGCCUUGUACACACCGCCCGUCACACCAUGGGAGUGGGUUGCAAAAGAAGUAGGUAGCUUAACCUUCGGGAGGGCGCUUACCACUUUGUGAUUCAUGACUGGGGUGAAGUCGUAACAAGGUAACCGUAGGGGAACCUGCGGUUGGAUCACCU